GACGAACGCUGGCGGCGUGCUUAACACAUGCAAGUCGAACGGUAAGGCCCUUCGGGGUACACGAGUGGCGAACGGGUGAGUAACACGUGGGUGAUCUGCCCUGCACUUCGGGAUAAGCCUGGGAAACUGGGUCUAAUACCGGAUAGGACCACUGCCUGCAUGGGUGGUGGUGGAAAGCUUUUGCGGUGUGGGAUGGGCCCGCGGCCUAUCAGCUUGUUGGUGGGGUGAGGGCCUACCAAGGCGACGACGGGUAGCCGGCCUGGGAGGGUGGCCGGCCACACUGGGACUGGGAUACGGCCCAGACUCCUACGGAAGGCAGCAGUGGGGAAUAUUGCACAAUGGGCGCAAGCCUGAUGCAGCGACGCCGCGUGAGGGAUGACGGCCUUCGGGUUGUAAACCUCUUUCAGCACCGACGAAGCGCAAGUGACGGUAGGUGCAGAAGAAGGACCGGCCAACUACGUGCCAGCCGCCGCAGUAA
rnacentral:rRNA from 1 species